UAGCAAUAGCUAAUUGUAUAUAUCGAUUUACUCGAAUAAAAUUCUAGAUAGAUUUAUGAUAAUGACAUUAUCUAUCUAUGUGUCUUGACCAAAUUACGUGCCAGCAGUCGCGGCAAUACGUAGAAGACUAGUGUUAUUCAUCUUUAAUUGGUUUAAAGCGUACCUAGACGGUAAUUAUAGCACUUUUUUACUAGAGUUAUAUGUAAGAGUGCUUUAAAGUACUGUUGGUGUAGAGAUGAAAUUCUUUCAUACCAGAUGUUGGCACAGGUUUAGGCGAAAGCAUCACUUUAUGUAAUAACUGACGUUGACGGACGAAGGCUAUGUAUGCGAACAGGAUUAGGUACCCCAGUAUCUUAGCAGAAAAUUAUGAAUGUCAUAGGUUAAAUUAUUUGGUCUAUAAAUGAAAGUGUAAGCAUUCCACCUCAAGAGUAAUUUGGCAACAUUGGAACUGAAAUCAUUAGACCGUUUCUGAAACCAGUAGUGAAGUAUGUCGUUUAAUUUGAUAAUCCGCAAAAAACCUUACCACAAUUUGAAUAUUAAUCGUG
rnacentral:rRNA from 1 species